ensembl:lncRNA
GUAACGCGCGCUCAGGGGACACGGCUCGGAGCUGGGCGACCUCAGGACCGGUCCCGUCCCGGCGUGGAAAGUGCGGCGGGGGCGCGGCCGCGGGAGCAGAGGCGGCCAAAGUGGGCGGGAGCGCUGGGCGGGGCCUGGGCUGACCCUCGCUGCCGAGUCCCUAGGGCGGCCUGGCGGAUGGCGUGGCCGGACGCGGGGGCCCAGGGCCUUUCCGGACGUGAUCCGGGGGUUGGGGGCACCGGGGCCGUCCGGCGGGGCGGUCCUGGGUGGUCUGGCGGAGGCGGAGGUCGCUCCGGGCGCCUGGAGUGGAGGAGGUGGGCGCGCCAGCCAAGGAGAGAAGGGGGCGGGGUGUGCCGCCCUGGUGGGGACCGCGGGGUCGGAGAGGGGACAUUUCCCCGGAGGCAAGCGCCGGGCCGCAGCUCCGAGUCCCCGCCCGAGGCCGCCCCCGCGAGUUGGCGGCGGGCCCGGCGGUCCCCGAGGGCGGCUCGGAUUCUUUCGCCAAACCCGCCCUGAGACGACGGACCAGCCGCCCAGGCUUCGCCAGACUGCACCCCUUGGGCAGCCAACUCUGAACGCGCCUGUCUCCGAACUUGGGGCCCGCCCGACCCGAGUGACCCAAGGCAAGGGUGCCCAGUCCGCAGCCACGCACCUCCAGUUCGGGUCAUGAUUCCCUGACUAGCAGCGGUGCAGCCUAAGGAGUGGAAGGGGCUGGCGGUUAGCUCCAAAUUGAAAGUCGGUGAUGCUUUUACCAAUCUGAGGGCUGCCGCUGAGCCUCUGACCCUUGCAGGGAGAGCCUCUUGCCCUCUCCCCACUCCCUUAGCCAGACGGUGCCCCCAGUGCCUGGUCCCUCCCCCUUCCUACCCACAGAGCCCGAGCAUCUGGCCUGUGACCCCCUUAGAAAUGAGGAUUCUGCACACUUGGCCUUGGAGAAGACCUAGUUUCAGGCAGACGCCAAUAGGGCGCCGGGGGCUGCCUGGACCCCACAGCCUCACAUCUGGAGCCGCUGGCACUAGGGCCCAGAGGCAGGUCCCCGCCACCUUUGGGUCAGGGACGGGCUGCCCCACUUGACCCGGGUCAGUGACCCUGACCUCCAGUCUCCCAGGAAAGCACCCUGAGUGAGGCGCCUUGCUCUAAGGGCGCUGGAGAAGGCCCCAACGAUGGAGGGAGAGCCGGCCUCCAGAGGGGCCUGUCCCUGCGCUUCCCCUACCGUCGCCUGCCCAUCUCUGCAGAGUCACAUUCCGCUUGUCAUGGUGGCUUCCCUCCUGAGGCCCUGCCCUCCUCUUAGGGCCCCACCCUACAGCCAGAGGCCCAAGCCGGGGGGUGGGGGGGGGGUACCCCAGGGCAACCGCUGGACUUCUGGCCCAUAGGGACCCAGGCACCCUGUAGACAUGGGGUUGACGUGGGGGGAAGGCAGCGGGGAUGACAGACCUGCCCUAGGAACCGGAUCCCACCCCCCUGUACUGGGUGUGCCCUUGGGCACCAGGUCUGUGUUUCCAUGAAGAGGAGAAUGGAGCCCAGGCUGCGCUGGGCACACUGGGCAGGGUGGCCUCUCUCUGCUCCCACCGACCCGUGGAGGGGCGCUGCACAGCUAGGACACAGACCAGUGACCACUGGGGCCCUGGAGGAAAAUAGUCUGAGCUAGAGGAGCCCAGUGCCUGACCCAGGCCACGGCAUGUGGCAUGUGGCCACCCUGGGCGCCCCCGGGCUGCAGUGGCCGGGACCGACACAGUGCUGUGGGCAGCUUGUCGCGUAUGUGCAGGUCACCGUUCCCCGUGACGGGGCAGCAGACCCCUGCCCAGGCUCGGCUCGUCCCGGCUGCUGACGCCCAGGAGUGCCCCCAAAGCCCCCUGGCUGGCGUGAAGGCUGUAAAAUUCUCCGGGUGCGCUCCAGCCCCACCCAUGGUGCUGACCUGGGUUCGUCUCCUGAGCUGCCAGGCAGCCCCUGAGUGGACCCGGGAUGAGGCCUGCAGAGGAGGCGGGGCCACAGCUGGUUCCUGUACUGAUGAGGCACCCACUGUGUGCGGCGGCCUUUCUGGGCAACACACAGUCCCAGCCCAGAAGGUGCUGGCGUCUGAGAAGGGCCAACACACCAAGCUUCGAGAACUCACCAUGGGUGGGCAUGGGUGUGGGCGGGGUGGUCCAGGAAGGCAGCUCUGAGGAGGUGACAAGUUGAGCCCUGAAGCUUCUGACUGAUCAGAGAGGAAAGAACAUGAUGGGGAGGGGACACGGAGCAUGUGCCAAGGCCUCGGGGCAGCAAAAAGCACCAGUGGUCUGUGAACACAGCGAGGUGGGGGCGGCUCCCAGUUCCCCUCCUGGCCCCCCGCCUUCUCUUAGCUCUUCCUUCCUGUCCCGCCCACCCCAGUCCACACACUGCACCUUUACGGAGUGGGCUGUGCCGUUUCAGGGAGAUGAUCUGAAAGGCCAGGUUUGGAGCAGCACCCUGACCCUCGACCACCAGCCUGGGAACACUAAUGUAAGCAAGGUUUCUGGGCCUGCAUCCCCUGGCAGAGGCUCCAGGGCCCUGCAGAAAAGUGAAUGUGGGCUGCCACGCGCCCCCGUGCCUAUGAGGCCUGCCAGCGGAGGGCUGGAGAGCUGCAGGGCAACCCCUUCCAGGUCCAGAGACCCCCCCAGCCCACCCACCGCAGCUGCCGGACCUGCUUGGGAAGUCCCUGUCUGAAUGGGCUGCUGAGGGUCCCAGGCCACUGCAGAGAAGGGCACCCUGCCUGUCCCCGCCCAUGCCCUGGCUAGCUCUUCUCGCCGACGGUCAGGGAAACCAUGUCUGUAGUUGGCCUGGGGGGCCGGCCAUGUGGGCCCCUGAGCUCCAGCGGCCGUGUUUCCUCUGUGUGUCCGCAGCCCCGGCCUGGGCCUCCUGGCAAGCGGCCCGAGGCAGUUGGCAUGCCAUCCUGAGAACCCCAGCUGAACCUCAGGGAUUAAUUGGUACUUUUAAUUACUGGCCGGGCUGCAGACACCAAACGCCCAGGCCAGAUAUGAGGGGGCAGCUCUGAGCAGAGGCCUCGUGGAGGCAGCCUCAUCCUAGCCCACCAGGUCCUGGAGAGAGAAGACAGGCACCCCAGGGCUCCAGCAUCCCUGGUGACAGACCCUUGGAGCUCGGAGCCAAGACUUAUGCUCAGCCCCCUCCCCAGCAUCGUUGCCAACUGCUGUGGAAGUUCUGGUCUGGGUGGAAACUGACCCCUGGGUUGGACUGGUGUCCCCCCGGGGUGGGUAGUGGUGGCCCUCGUCACUCUGUGUGGAGGACUCGAGAAGGUCACACCUGGAUCUUCCCGUCUCUGCCCAUAGGGUAGGAUGUUCGGGGCUUCCUGUGGUUGGCGCCAGUCCUGAGCAAUCGCUGCUUCCGACGGGCACCUCUUCAGGUGCCUCCCGGCCUCCAGGCACAGGGCCCAGCCCAGGCUACCCCUCUGUGCCUUGUCACCAGCUCCAAGGCCUCCUGAAGAAUAAACCCACAGCAUCUGGGUGUGCCUGCCAGCUGCCAGUGGGAGCCCCGUGCUGUGGCCGUUCUUCUGUGGGGAGGGACGAUGCUCAACCCAAGGAGAUGGGCCCCCGCGCUCAGUGUCUGCCCGGUGAGAUGCGUGCACAGGUGUGUCGGGACAGCUGCGGUCUCUGCUCCGCCUCCGCUCACCACCCCCCAACCCUGGGUCCCCGAGCCUCCGGCUGUGCCCGUCCAUCUCUCUCCAGCCAGCAGGCUUGGAGCUGGCUCCAUCCACGGCCGUUAGGUCUCCGAUGGUGGGAAGAGGGUGAUUCUGCUGCCAAAGCCGCCUUCAGGCAGGGUCCCUGGGGUAGAGGGAGCCCCAGGGGGUCUGGCCAGGGCCGGCAGCAUCUCUCCUGGAGUAACUGGGCGCCGAGGAGGCAUUGGGAUCUGCCUGCCUCUGGACGGCCCCUCCCAUCAGCUGGUAAAUCUACCCCCUGUCCCUGCAGAAGGGCUCUGCUUGCCACUGGACUCCUGGAUCUCCGGACCCCAGCCCUAUUCUGGGCCCUCGCCCCUGGGACCCCAGAGAUGGGACUGGAGGGACUUCCUCAAUCCACCUGCAGGAGGGGACCAGUUGAAACUGACUUCAGAAAAACAGCUUUCUGAGCCCAAACAGGCUGCCAAGAGCUAUGCUUUUCCCUCCAAGCUUGACUUUCUGAUUUAAUGAGGCUUCUUGUCCAAGUUGGGCUUCCCUUGAGGCUCAGCUGAUAAAGAAUCUGCCUGCAAUGCGGGAGACCUGGGAUCACUCCCUGGGUUGGGAAGAUCCCCUGGAGAAGGAAAAGGCUACCCACUCCAGUAUUCUGGCCUGGACAGUUCUGUGGACUGUAUAGUCCAUGGGGUCACAGAAUCAGACACGACUGAGCGACUUUCACUCACUCACUUGUCCAAGUUGGGCUUCCCAGGUGCUUCAGCGGGUAAAGAAUCCUCCUGCCAAUGCAGGAGACCCAGGAGAUGCUGGUUUGAUCCCUGGGUUGGAAAGAUCCCCUGGAGAAGGAACUGGCAACCUACUCCAGUAUUCUUGCCCGGGAAAUCCCAUGGACAGAGGAGCCUGGUGGACUACAGUCCAUGGGGUCACAGAGUCGAACCUGACUGAGCAACAGAGCACGCACUUUGUCCAAGUUGAGCCGCUCAGCACCAGCCUGUGUCAGGUGAGCCUAGGGUGGGCCAGCAUGGCUGGAAGUAGACACGUCACAGAGAAAACCCCCUUUCCUAGUAAGGGGCUCCUGCUGGCCGGGCCCAAGACACCUCUGGAAGUUUUCACAGACCCACCAGUGUCCAAGGCAAGUUAAAGCACACUCUGUCACAGAUUUUCACUCAGGUGUUUGUCUUUCUGAGCACGGUGAAGGGGGUUUAACCACGGUGUUCUCCAGAGGAAGAUGCUGGGGGGUUGCGGUUCUCCUGCAGGGAGAUGGAAGGUGCUCAGAAGCGGGCGAGGCAGAGCCUUGCCUCUGGGGCACCAGGCUGAGGCAGAGCCCUCGGGGCGUCCGGGUCUGGUGGGGCAGCAGCCGGCUCACCCACUUCCUGGUGGGACGCAUGCAGGAUACGAGCGGCAGCCGCCUGCUCCUGUACCCGGGGCCCCAGGACUGCGAGAUGGGGGCCAGCUUUGCUGCUCACACUGGUGGUCACCGCCCAGUCACCUGGUGUCAGCUUGAGAAGGAAUCGGCUCCCUGGCCAGGCAUGAGUGGGGUGCCAGCCAGUCAUCAGAGGAGGUAGCUGGAGGCCCGGGGGCAGAUGGAUCGCAGCCUCCUAACGGCUGGGCCGCUGCUCCCUCUCCGAAGCCCCUGGACACGGGGCCCUGUGCAGGCUGUGUGGAGCUGAGUGCCAAGGGGCCUGGAUGCACCAACUCCGCAGGCUUUGACCAUGGAACCCCUGGACGUCCACUGGAGAAUCAACCUGAGAGGGCUUCCAGGCCAGACCUGCGUUGGUGCUGGGACAGCAGAUGACACUCAUGGGGUCGGCCCUGCAGAGGCUUGGCCUGCGAAGCAUUCCAGGAGGUGUGGCUGGAGAUGUUCCAGCCGGCCUGUGAACGGGAGCUGCAGG